rnacentral:rRNA from 1 species
AUGGCAAGAAGCUUCGACAUGAGCACCAUCGCAACCAUGGCCAGAUUCUGGUGGUCGCUCCUACUCCUGUGGCUCUGCUGCCUUCUUCUCUCUCCGGUGGACUCGUCGCCGGUUGCCAUCACGCACCUGCCUGGCUUCGACGGGCCCCUCCCAUUCUCCCUGGAAACCGGGUAUGUGGAGGUGGACGAAAGCAAUGGCGUGCACCUUUUCUACUACUUCGUCGAGUCGGAGAAGGACCCCACCAGAGACCCGCUGGUGCUGUGGAUGCAGGGUGGACCCGGCUGCUCCAGCCUCUCGGGCAUUCUCUACGAGAUGGGGCCCUUCCGGUUUGACGUCCAAGGGUACAGAGGUGGACUCCCUACUUUGCUGUACCGACCGGAGACAUGGACCAAGGUCAGCAAUAUAAUCUUUAUUGAUAGUCCUAUUGGCUCUGGGUUCUCAUACGCCACGUCGGAAGAAGGGUUUAAAUCUAGUGAUAGCAAGGCGGUUAAAAUGCUAGUCGUUUUCCUCAAAAAGUGGUUGCAUGAGCACCCCCAGUUCCUCUCAAACCCACUUUAUAUUGGUGGUGAAUCAUAUUGUGGUAUGAUCGUACCCACUCUUGCCCUGGAAAUCCACAUAUCAAACAAGGAAUCUGGGGAAGAAUCACUUCUUAACCUCAAGGGGUACUUUGCUGGGAAUCCAGUGACUGACGACAGGUUUGACAGAGCUGGUACAAUCCAAUUUUUUCAUGGCAUGGGAAUGCUGUCGGAUGAACUUUAUGAGUUUGCCAAGGAGAGUUGUGGAGGAAACUACAGUGAUCCACCCAAUGCGUUAUGUGCCGAGUCCAUUCAAGCUAUUGACAAUUGCACAAAAGAUAUCAACUUGUCCCACAUCCUGGAGCCCUCAUGCGAGUUGAUAUGGAGCCCCGGGAUUCAGCAGGCAACAGCAAGCAAUGAAACAAGUGGGCUCAGGGUGGAGUACUUGGUUGGUGAUGAUCUCCUGUUUCCCUUCAAGUGUAGAAGCGAUACCUACCAGCUAUCUUAUGUAUGGGCAAAUGAUGAAGGCGUAAGGGAGAGUCUUGGCAUUCGCCAGGGAACUAAGGCGGAAUGGAAAAGAUGUGUUAGCGACAUACCGUACACUAGAGAUAUCACAAGUACAGUAGAGAUUCAUUCGAGGCUACGUAGAGAAGGAUAUCCAGCGCUGAUAUACAAUGGCGACCAUGAUAAGGAGUUUUCCUUCGUUGGCACUCAAGCAUGGAUAAGAUCUCUUAACCUGCCUAUCACAGAUGACUGGAGACCAUGGUAUGUUGAUGGCCAGGUUGCAGGAUUCACAAGAAGUUACUCCACUAACCUAACGUAUGCAACUGUGAAGGGUGCUGGGCAUACUGCUCCAGAGUACAAGCCCAAGGAGUGCCUCGUGAUGUUCGCCAAGUGGCUUUCCGGUGACCCUCUGUGA